rnacentral:rRNA from 1 species
UGGUGGCGUGUCUAUACAUGCAAGCGAGCGAGGCAGCAAUGCCGAGCGGCGAACGGGUGAGUAACGCGUAAGCAAUCUGCCCCAUAUCAGGAAAUACCCGUGCCAACGCGCGGUUAAUGUCCAGGAGAGUGGCCCCCUGCAUGGAGGGUUGACUAGAGAUUUAUCGGUAUGGGAUGAGCUUGCGUCCGAUUAGCUAGUUGGCGGGGCAACGGCCCACCAAGGCGACGAUCGGUAGCCGGCCUGAGAGGGUGAUCGGCCACAUUGGGACUGAGAUACGGCCCAGACUCCUACGGGAGGCAGCAGUAGGGAAUAUUGCACAAUGGGGGAAACCCUGAUGCAGCAACGCCACGUGUUGGGAAGAAGCAUUUCGGUGUGUAAAACCACUGUCAUGAGGGAAUAAGGCCCGCCUUCGGACGGGAUUGAAUGUACCUUGAGAGGAAGCACCGGCAAACUUCGUGCCAGCAGCCGC